GAUGAACGCUGGCGGUAUGCCUAACACAUGCAAGUCGUACGAGAGUUUUUAACUCUAGUGGCGGACGGGUGAGUAACACGUGAGAAUUUGCCUUUAGGAGGGGGACAACAAUUGGAAACGAAUGCUAAUACCCCAUAUGCUUUCGAGUGAAAUGGAUUUUAUCCGCCUAGAGAGAAGCUCGCGGCUGAUUAGCUUGUUGGUAAGGUAAGAGCUUACCAAGGCGACGAUCAGUAUCUGGUUUGAGAGGACGAUCAGACACACUGGAACUGAGACACGGUCCAGACUCCUACGGGAGGCAGCAGUGGGGAAUUUUCCGCAAUGGGCGAAAGCCUGACGGAGCAAUACCGCGUGAGGGAAGAAUGCCUAUGGGUUGUAAACCUCUUUUUUCAGGGAGGAAUCAAAUGACGUGUACCUGAAGAAUAAGCAUCGGCUAACUCCGUG
rnacentral:rRNA from 1 species